rnacentral:lncRNA from 1 species
AACUUGUUCCCUUUCUUUGCCGCCGAACAGCCAUGUAAACCAGUAAAGAAAUUAUGGCAAUCAAACCAGCCGCACAUCCGACACCAGCAAUUAGCAAGCUUCUCUUCUUGGAUUUUGCACCUGCAGAAUUGGACGAAUCCGAAGGUGGUGGUGGAGCCACCCGUAGUUCUGGGUUUGGUUCGCCCAAAUUGCCAUCUGAGUUGCUUAAUUUGAACACUUCAAUCCCAUUUAAGAUAACAUCAUAGAACUUUGCAAGAAUAGGAUGCAAAUCUAUGGUGAUGUACUCCUUUGAUACUAACACGACAUAAUCCUUAAAUAUCGGAAUUCUGCCUUGCCCAGUCCACAUAAUCACAUCAGCGUUUUGUUCAGCCGUCUGACUGUUUAUAAAGACCUGAAACUUCCGAUCUCCCGGAGAGUUUAUCAGAUCUUGGGGUUCACAGAAAUGAAGCCUCACCAUAUACCUGAAUCCCGAACCCACGGGCAAUCUCCAUGAUAAGUUAUGCUUCUUGUUGUACGCAAGACUAGGCCCCAUUGUCCGUGCAGUCCGAUAAACCAUCUCCGGUGCCGUAUAUCUCCGAAUCAUUGUAUAGGUGAUUGGCACGGAGGCGUUGACAGUGACAUAGCUAUUUUUUGUCAUGUAAAAAAAGUCAUCGGACCAAAGCCUGAAAAGGCCAGUAUCAUCGUUGGGCGAAAUGGAUUGGCCCCCAACAUUCAAUCGAUACGCCAUCUCAAGUGCGGUGUCAUUCUCAACGGGGAAUGGAUAAUUCUGACCAACGAAAGGGACAUCCAAUGAGUCAGGCGGUGUGUAGUAAAGACUGGUAGGCAUCGACACGAUCUCGAUUCCAUUGAUGAAAGCGUAAGUAUCGUUUGAAGCACUACGAGAUGGAGUGAAAACAAGGUCCAACACCUUAUUAUCUUCCACGUUCAAACAGAAUUCUCUGGAAAACGAAUUUUUCCCCUUUGAAUCUGCAACAAGGAAAGCACUGAAAUUUUUUAGCAACGUGAAAGAACCAGCUUUGACAGAGAAAAAGGCCUUGGAUCUGUCGUAUUCUUUAUAGGACGCUGGAUGGAAGUAGAGACGAACGAAUUUCUGGCCUGGAGUAACAGGGAAAGUGUACUUGAAUUCGGAACGGGAAACUCGGACCGUCAUAUAAGGCACGGUUUCGGAACCGUCUUGAGUAUCAGCUUCGUAGGCUUGCGAUUUGUUGUGGGAUGAUUCGAAAGGUCCAAAUUUUGAGUUCUUGUCUGCUGCCCAAGAUCUGCCAUCAUUAGCUAAUAAGUCGGUUGUAGCUCCACAAUUCAGGGUGAUAUUAUCCGUUGGAACGUAUGCAGGCUGCUCUGAUGCAACAAAAAUGGCUGACUGAAGGAUGGUUAUGAGAAUUAUUACCGAGUACUUCUCCAUGGAAACAAGUGAAAACUGACUAUGAGUAUAUUUGUCUAUGUAAAUAUAUGUUGAUGGAAUGGGAACAUGUUUUAUCACUAUAUUUGCAAAUUCAUACAGCUUUUUCUUUACAGGUUACGAGUCUUUUUUUUUUCUUUUUUUUUUUAAAAUUUUUAUAUUGCUUCAAAUUAAAGCUAGAUGAUUGGAAAGUUAUAUGGAAAAGGUAGUCGCGAAACUCGUUUGAAUUAAAGAUAUUUUCACAAAAAAAUUGACUGAAGGUCAACCACUUAACUAAUUGAUUUAAAAUAGAAUAACUUACCAUUUGGUACCUAUACGUUUAUAAAAUAUAUAAUAUCAUACAUGUAUUUUGGAAAUGUUUAACUUGGUACCGAACUAUUAGUAUGUGUAUAAAAAAAAGAAGUUAAUACUAAAUUUACAUGAAAGUACUUCUACUUUUUAUGUAUAAUAAAGAUAUUAUAUAAACAUAAAUUAAAAAUAUUAUUUCAAAUGAAAAAUUCUUCGAAGAAAGAAAGAUGAAGUUUUAACUUAUGUAAGUUUAGUUAUUUUUUUUUAAAUUUAAUUUAUUAUUAUUUUUAAUUAUUCAUAUAAUGUUAUAUUAUCGAUAUAGAAUUAAUGUUUUGGAGGGAAAAUUAUACGUAUUGAAUUUUUUUGAUGGUUUAGCAAUUCACUAACCAUGUUAACACCAAGUACCAUAAUAAAACAUAUAUUGAUAGUUAGGUACCACAUUAGAUAUUUUAUAAAAGUAUAUGUAUCAUCAUAAAAUACAUAUUAAUAGUUCAAAUACCACAUCGAACAUUUUCAAGGUACAACUACAAUAUUAAACAUUUAUGAAAGGACAUUUACUAAAUAUUAAAAUUAACUAUAUGGUUCAAAAGUUAAAAUCAUUUUGAAAUUAAAAAAUUAUCAGAACUUUUAAAAAUUUUAUCUAAAUUGUAAUGAGGCCUUGGUGUGGUUUGUCAAGGUGCAGGUUUUUGGUAUUUGAGAAACCAAAUCCAAGUCUUAUUAUGUGUAAUUAGGAUGUGUGGAUAUUUAGUCACAUUAUAUAUAUAUAUAUCAUGUAUGAAUCUUGUAUGAUUCUUUUUAGUUCUUUGUCUGUUGUAUUUUAUAUUAUUUUAAUUCUAAGAGGUAUAAUUACUCAAACUAUUAUUUGUAUUUAUAUUAUUCUUGUGAAUGUAUUAUAUUUAUAAUAAUAAAACUUUCAAAAAUAUAAUCUAAGUUGAACCCAAAUAAUUUUGUACUUAAACGAGGCCACCAACUUGAUCUAGAAAAUGAUGCAUUUGAUAUUUUAAAUAGGUUUAAUUUAAUAACAAGCCUUCAAAUUAUACCAUUUAUUUUAGUUAGGUAAUUAAAAUUUUAUUUAUCGAACUAGAUACUUAAAUUAUAAUUUUAUUGUAAUGAUCUAAUUUUUGACGAUAUCAAAAAAAUAUAAUUAUAAAAUUUAAUUUCAUAAAUCAAGUCAGUAAAAAUAUAAAUAGAAGGAUUUAUGAUGUUAGUAUCAAAUAUAUUAAAGAGAAGUUAAGAAAUUAACUCGAGAAAAUUGUUAAUUAAUGUUUAGGGACUAAAUUAUAAAAAAAUAUAAUCGCUAUGAAAUUUUAAUUUGAAAAAUACUAAAUAACCUAAUUAACAAUAAAAGAUCUAAUAAUUAUUUAACCAUUAAAUUCUUAUGAGAUAGUGGAUGAUUACAAUCAUUUCCAUUCAUUUUCAUUAAGCAUGUUAAUUAUUUAUUAUUAUCAAAAGUUAGAUAAAUAAGUAAGCUUAAUUAUCUUUAAUUGCAAGUAUAAAAAUAAAACAAGUGGGAAAGAGAAUAAGACCAACAUCUUAUUAUUUAGAAUUGUACCGUCCAUGCCCUAAGAAGAAGAAGAAGAAAAACCUUUCAAGCUUUUUAACAAAAGUUAAUUUUAAUUAGUUAAAGUAAGAGAGGUUUUCCUAGAUGAUUUUUAUAGAACUUUAAUCAUCUGAGCCCAUUAAGUUAUGCCCAAGUAUUUGAUUAUCCAAUUUGUUAGUUUAGCUACCAUUAGUUAAUAAUGAUGAAAUUAGACUUGAAAUUGAUAAAAAAUUAGUUUUUCAACUUAGAUUUUACUAAGAUUGUACUAGAAUAUAAUGGAAUUAGCUUAGAACUAAAGGUUUACUUAACUUUGACAUUAGGGACUAAAUUGAUUAAAUUGAAAUCUAUUAAGAAAUUGUGCUAUAGAUUAGAAGUAUAAGGUCCUUAAUGAAAGAAUAUGAAAUUAGAUUAUGAUUCUAUAUUAGAUACCAAAAAAUAUGAACAUUUCGAAUAUAAGGGCUAGAAUGAAUAAAAUUAAAAAUAUGUUUGAUUAUAUGUUUUUGUGUGUUUGGGUGGAAACUAAUAGCAUUUUUAUUAUUGAAUUAUCGAAUAUAGUUGAAGACAACAUCAUGUCGUCUCAAAAUAAAGGAAAAAUGAAAGUUGUAGACGAGUAACUAAUAUGGUUUGUACUUUUAUGAUUUGAAUUCAAUAUAUAUGUCUUAUUACAAACUAGCUUGUUUAAGGUAGGAAUCGUAAUUUUCUCAUUAUUUGGUUUGUCCGAAUCCACCUUUGAUUCAUCGUUGAAGUCCAUGUCCCGAGCAACUGGGAACACUAUAUCCAGGUAGCUACACUCACUUGCCAGGUCCAUCUUCGACAUCUCGGCAUCAGCAGCCAUUUGCAACUCUAUAGCAAUCCCGAACCUUUCCAUCACACCAUUCAUUGAUGGCCUAUCGGUUCCAACAUCUGUUAUGCAACUUUCUGCAAUUUCGACAAACACCUUAAAACACUUUGGAGCUAUCUUUCCAAUCAAAUAUGGAUCAAUAACCUUGUACAGUGUUUCAUCUGCAAUGCAUUGCUUGGCCCAAUGUGCCAGGCUCAUUUGAGAUUCGAGCAAUUUCGUAUUCACAACUUUUCUUGCACACAACACUUCAAAUAACACAACACCAAAUGCAUAUACAUCUGAUUUUUCGGUUAAUUUAUGACCCCGAGCAUACUCCGGGUCCAUGUGGCCGCGGGUGCCCUUUAUCCCGGUUAUGAGCAUCUCGUCUUUGGGGUCUUCUUUUGACAACCCAAAAUCCGAAACCUUGGCAGUAAACUUAUCAUCUAGGAGAAUGUUGCUUGUCUUCACAUCACGGUGGAUAACAGUAUAACUCAUUUCUAUAUGAAGAUAGUUCAAUCCUGUUGCAGUUCCCUUGCAAAUCUCAAGCCUUUGCUUCCAUGUGAGAGGAUCAUAGGCAAAGCUAGUACCGUAAAGAUGAUCCGAGAGAGUCCCAUUACUCAUAAAAUCAUACAACAGAAUCAUCUCUUGUUUCUCAUUGCAGUAUCUAAUUAAGGACACCUGUUGAAAAUUAGCCUACCAUACCGCUAUGAUAUUUUUGGUUAAAGUGCAUGCAGCACAUGAAGCUGUUGUAAUAUCUCCAGAUGAAGUGCAUGCAGCUUGUAAACAUGCUGCAACACAAAUGUUACAAGGCUGUUUAGUUGUAAUAUCUCCGGAUGAAGUACGUGCUAGCAAUUGUACCUGCUGCAACACGAAUGCUUGCUGUAACAGAAGGUUGUUUAGUUACUUUGUUAAGUUACUUAGUUCAAAAUGAACUAAGUUAGUAUUGUUUUGAUAUUUUUAGGUGCUGAUUAUGGAAUCAGCUUUUGUGCAAGUUAACUUUUUAUAGUCCCAAUGUUGACUAGUUUAGGUGGCUUGUUUGUGUAUACAAACAAUGUUUUUAAAGUUACUAAGCUGCUUUUGUAGGUAGCAAUAAGUGAUGUAGUUGGCUAUAUAUGAAUUAUUUUUCUUAUUGAAAAAUCAAACAUAUCAGUUAUUUCUUUCUUGUGACACGUUUGUGAGUAAGUAAAUUUUUCUUGCUUCCUUGUUCUCUAUAUUGCAUUUUUUCCUCUGCUUUGUUUUCCUUUUUAUUGCUGUCAAAAAUCCCAACAACACCAAAUGAACAUGGCGGAGCUGAAACAACAUCUUAAUCUCUAUUAAGAACUCUCCAAUACCUUGACUGGAUUCUAGAUUUAGGCGCUUGAUUGCAACUAUCUUUUCACCUUCAUCUAUGAAACCUUUGAAUACUUUCCCAAACCCACAUUUCCCAACAACUAAAUCAUCAUGGAAAUUGUUGGUAGCAGCUUUGAUCUCAUCCAGUGAAAAAUGGCGGCAUAGCUCAUCUGGUAACAGUGAGGUCCUUGUGGAUUUCCCUUCGUUUUGAUUUACCCACCAGCAAAGCCAACUUGUUCCCUUUCUUUGCUGCUGAACAACCAUGCAAACCAAUAAAGAAAUUAUGGUAAUCAAACCAGCCGCACAUCCAACACAAGCAAUUAGCAAGCUUCUCUUCUUGGUUUUUGCACCUGCAGAAUUGAACGAAUCUGAAGGUGGUGGUGGAGCCACCCGUAGUUCAGGGUUUGGUUCGCCCAAAUUGCCAUCAGAGUUGCUUAAUUUGAACACUUCAAUCCCAUUUAAGAUAACAUCAUAGUACUGAUGAUGAAUAGGAUGCAAAUCUAUGGUGAUGUACUCCUUUGAUACAAACACGACAUAAUCCUUAAAAAUCGAAACUCUGGCAUGUCCGGUCCACAUAAUCACAUCAGCGUUUUCUUCAGCCGUCUGAUUGUUUAUAAAGACCUUAAACGUCCAGUCUCCCGGAGAGUUUAUCAGAUCUUGUGGUUCACAGAAAUGAAGCCUCACCAUAUACUUGAAUCCCGAACCCACGGGCAAUCUCCAUGAUAAGUUAUGCUUCUCGUUGUACGCAAGACUAGGGCCCAUUGUCCGUGCAAUCCGAUAAACCAUCUUCGGUGCCGUAUAUCUUUGAAUCAUUGUGUAGUUGAUUGGCAUGGAGGUGUUCACAGUAACAUAGCUAUUUUUUGUCAUGUAUAAAGAGUCAUCGGACCAAAGCCUGAAAAGGCCAGGAUCAUCGUUGGGCGAAAUGGAUUUGCCCUCAACAUUCAAUCGAUACGCCAUCUCAAGUGCGGUGUCAUUCUCAACAGGGAAUGGAUAACUGUGACCAAUGAAAGGGACAUACCCUGAGUCAGGCGGUGUGUAGUAAAGAUUGGUAGGCAUCGACACGAUCUCAAUUCCAUUAAUGAAAGCGUAAGUAUCGUUUGAAGCACUACGAGAUGGAGUGAAAACAAGGUCCAACACCUCAUUAUCUUCCACGUUCAAAUAGAAUUCUCUGGGAAACCAAUUUCUCCCCUUUGAAUUUGCAACAAGGGAAGCACUGAAAUUUUUUAGCAAAGUGAAAGAACCAGCUUUGACAGGGAAAAAGGCCUUGGAUCUGUCGUAUUCUUUAUAGGACUCUGCAUGGAAGUAGAGAAGAACAAAUUUCUGGCCUGGAGUAACAGGGAAAGUGUACUUGAAUUCGGAACGGGAAACUCGGACCGUCAUAUAAGGCACGGUUUCAGAACCGUCUUGAGUAUUAGCUUCGUAGGCUUGCGAUUUGUUGUGGGAUGAUUUGAAAGGUCCAAAUUUUGAAGUCUUGUCUGCUGCCCAAGAUCUGCCAUCAUUAGCUAAUAAGUCAGUUGUAGCUCCACAGUUCAAGGUGAUAUUAUCUGUUGGAACGUAUGCAGGCUGCUCUGAUGCAACAAAAAUGACUGACUGAAGGAUGGUUAUGAGAAUUAUUACGAGUACUUCUCCAUGAAAACAAUUGAAAACUGACUAUGAGUAUAUUUGUCUAUGUAAAUAUAUG